CAGUCAAUGCAUGAUCUCAUUUCUAUUUCUUUCCGUACUCAAACAUUCACCAUCAUAAGACUUUCAUUAAUUGUACACGCAACGUUUAAGUAACCAUUAGCACUCACAAGCGGAAGGAGAAUUUAAUUCUCGUCUUAUAAAAUUAACCUUAAGCAAAACCUGACUUGAGCUUCACAGACACUUAUCUCUACUACUGUACAUCAUGCGCAACAAUAAAAAUAAAUAAGCAACCAUUUUUUAAAAAUAUACUGUAGAUUUUUAUACUAUACUUUCUGUAAUACCUUUACACGUGGGAAAGGAGAGUCACAUUCGCCUUGCGCUCUUCGACCAUUUUCAACACUUCUUUGAAAGAGGUUACAUAAUAACCAAGGAAAGUGGUGCUUUUAAUUCUGCUUUGGCUUUACGUAUUGCAUUACAGUCUUCUUAUGCUAUUAACAACAUAGGUUAUUUAUAACAAGAUUCAUUCCGGCACAGAAUAUUGUUGAUAGGGUCGAGAUGCUCGGGCCACCCUCAUGCUGAACCUGCUGUCAGCCGCAGCUCACGACCCAGAUACUCCCACGCCCGACUUCACACAUUAUUUCACCAGGCCCCGCCUCUUAAAGUCAUAGGCACGGCAAUCUUGACAAUGUCUUUUAAAAACUUGAUUCAAUAAGUUUGAGUAUGUUGAAAUUGUCGGGCAUGGGUAAAACUGAGCAAAAAAAAAUAUUUCUUUGUUUGGUAGACAUUCAGUUAACAUGGGUGGGUCUAGAACAUAUCCCUCGUAAUAAACUUAUCAACUUAACGUAGUGUCAAGUCAACCUUUAAGUGUCGCAUUGAAUUUCGUUUGUGGUUCUUUGGUUAUCAGCAUUUUUUUCUUCUUCCCUCAUUGUUCAACAAAAGCUGUGG